rnacentral:rRNA from 1 species
UACGUAGGGUGCGAGCGUUGUCCGGAAUUAUUGGGCGUAAAGGGCUCGUAGGCGGUCUGUUGCGUCGGUAGUGAAAACUCAGGGCUUAACCCUGAGCCUGCUUCCGAUACGGGCAGACUAGAGGUAUGCAGGGGAGAACGGAAUUCCUGGUGUAGCGGUGAAAUGCGCAGAUAUCAGGAGGAACACCGGUGGCGAAGGCGGUUCUCUGGACAUUACCUGACGCUGAGGAGCGAAAGUGUGGGGAGCGAACAGG